ACGAUGCGACGCCGCGUGAGCGAAGAAGGCCCUAGGGUUGUAAAGCUCUGUCAGGGGUUAAGAAAUGUAGAUAGGUUAAUACCCUGUUUAUUUGACAAAAGCCCCAAAGGAAGCCACGGCUAACUCUGUGCCAGCAGCCGCGGUAAUACAGAGGUGGCAAGCGUUGUUCGGUAUUAUUGGGCGUAAAGAGCAUGUAGGUGGUUUUGUAAGUCAGAUGUGAAAGCCUUCUGUUCAAAGGAAGAACGGCAUCUGAAACUGCAGAUCUUGAGUGUAGGAGGGGAGAGUGGAACUUCUGGUGGAGCGGUGAAAUGCGUACAUAUCAGAAGGAACGUCGGCGGCCAAAGCGACUCUCUGGCCUAUUACUGACACUGAGUGUGCUAAAGUUAGGGGAGCAAACGGGAUUAGAUACCCCGGUAGUCCUAACCGUAAACGAUGGGCACUAAGUAGAGGG
rnacentral:rRNA from 1 species